rnacentral:rRNA from 1 species
UACGGAGGAUGCAAGCGUUAUCCGGAAUGAUUGGGCGUAAAGCGUCCGCAGGUGGCUGUGUAAGUCUGCUGUCAAAGAGCGAAGCUACAACUUCGUAAAGGCAGUGGAAACUACACGGCUAGAGUGCGUUCGGGGCAGAGGGAAUUCCUGGUGUAGCGGUGAAAUGCGUAGAGAUCAGGAAGAACACCGGUGGCGAAGGCGACUCGUGCUAGGCCGCAACUGACACUGAGGGACGAAAGCUAGGGGAGCGAAUGGG